GACGAACGCUGGCGGCGUGCUUAACACAUGCAAGUCGAACGGAAAGGCCCUGCUUUUGUGGGGUGCUCGAGUGGCGAACGGGUGAGUAACACGUGAGUAACCCGCCCUUGACUUUGGGAUAACUUCAGGAAACUGGGGCUCAUACCGGAUAGGAGCUCCUGCUGCAUGGUGGUGGUUGGAAAGUUUCGGCGGUUGGGGAUGGACUCGCGGCUUAUUAGCUUGUUGGUGAGGUAGUGGCUUACCAAGGCUUUGACGGGUAGCCGGCCUGAGAGGGUGACCGGCCACACGGGAACUGAGACACGGUCCAGACUCCUACGGGAGGCAGGAGUAGGGAAUCUGCCGCAAUGGGCGAAAGCCUGACGGAGCAACGACGGGUGAGUGAUGAAGGUCUUCGGAUAGUAAAACUCUGUUAUUAGGGAAGAACAAAUGUGUAAGUAACUAUGCACGUCUUGACGGUACCUAAUCAGAAAGCCACGGCUAACUACGUG
rnacentral:rRNA from 1 species